GACGAACGCUGGCGGCGUGCCUAAUACAUGCAAGUUGAGCGCUGAAGGUUGGUACUUGUGCCAACUGGAUGAGCAGCGAACGGGUGAGUAACGCGUGGGGAAUCUGCCUUUGAGCGGGGGACAACAUUUGGAAACGAAUGCUAAUACCGCAUAAAAACUUUAAACACAAGUUUUAAGUUUGAAAGAUGCCAUUGCCUCACUCAAAGAUGAUCCCGCGUUGUAUUAGCUAGUUGGUGAGGUAAAGGCUCACCAAGGCGAUGAUACAUAGCCGACCUGAGAGGGUGAUCGGCCACAUUGGGACUGAGACACGGCCCAAACUCCUACGGGAGGCAGCAGUAGGGAAUCUUCGGCAAUGGACGAAAGGCUGACCGGGCAACGCCGCGGGAGUGAAGAAGGUUGUCGGAUCGUAAAACUCUGUUGGUAGAGAAGAACGUUGGUGAGAGUGGAAAGCUCAUCAAGUGACGGUAACUACCCAGAAAGGGACGGCUAACUACGUG
rnacentral:rRNA from 1 species